rnacentral:rRNA from 1 species
UACAGGGGGGGCAAGCGUUGUUCGGAAUUACUGGGCGUAAAGGGCCAGUAGGCGGCCAACUAAGUCCGACGUGAAAUCCCCAGGCUUAACCUGGGAACUGCGUCGGAUACUGGAUGGCUUGAAUUCGGGAGAGGGAUGCAGAAUUCCAGGUGUAGCGGUGAAAUGCGUAGAUAUCUGGAGGAAUACCGGUGGCGAAGGCGGCAUCCUGGACCGAUAUUGACACUGAUGAGCGAAAGCUAGGGGAGCAAACGGG